ACCUGCCGACUAGUCCCGAAUAGGACGAAACGCGCGUCCUGGAU
rnacentral:hammerhead_ribozyme from 1 species